rnacentral:pre_miRNA from 1 species
UAUAAUUUUUGACUCUUUGUUUUAUUCAAAAUUUUUUUAUGGUUGAUAUUUUUGUUUUUAUUAAAUGGUAAAUCAUGAAUAAUACUUCACGUGUGACUAAUUUUUUUUUAUUUUUUUAAAAAAAUAUUAAAUAAAACGGAUGGUCAAACGUUGGACGUGGAAACCGAAG